CACCAGGAGUGGAGCCUGCGGCUUAAUUUGACUCCACCCGGGGAAGCACACCCGGCCCGGACACGGAGAGGAUUGACAGAUUGAUAGCUCUUUCUCGAUUCUGUGGGUGGUGGUGCAUGGCCGUUCUUAGUUGGUGGAGUGAUUUGUCUGGUUGAUUCCGAUAACGAACGAGACUCCGGCUUGUCAACUAGUUUCGCGGCCCCGUGUGGUCGGCGACUAACUUCUUAGAGGGACAAGUGGCGUUCAGCCACACGAGAAGGAGCAAUAACAGGUCUGUGAUGCCCUUAGAUGUCCGGGGCUGCACGCGCGCCACACUGAGCGGAUCAGCGUGCGUCUACCCUUCGCCGAG
rnacentral:rRNA from 1 species